rnacentral:lncRNA from 1 species
AUGAACGGACUAAAGAUGUUAGAUAUCCAGCUAUUACAUUGUGAAUGAAGUUUAUCGGCCGUUGAGGGGGCUAUGAUGACUAAACGUGAUUUGCCAGCUCAUAUUCUGUGACUUUGGAAGUGCAAAGUUUUGAGUUGAUUCUUACUUGAUCUAGAUCUUGGUGGGUCCUUAUGAACGGACUAAAGAUGGUUUUCAAGAUCCCAUGAGCAGGGCUGAUGGGCCCGAGUUUAUUACACAAUGUCCAAUUAGACCAGGAGGGAGUUACA